GAUGAACGCUGGCGGCGUGCCUAACACAUGCAAGUCGAGCGAACAGAUCAGGUGUUUGCUCCUCUGAGGGUAUCGGCGGACGGGAGAGGAACACGUGGAUAGCAUACCUAUAAGACUCGGAUAACUUCGGGAAACCGGAGCUAAUACCGGAUAAUAUAUUGAACAGCAUGGUUCAAUAGUUAAAGUCGGUUGUGCUUUCAGUUAUAGAUGAAUCAGCCCCGCAUUAGCAAGUUGGUAAGGUAGCGGCUUACCAACGCAGCGACGCGUAGACGACCUGAGGGGGAGAUCGGCCACACUGGAACUGAGACACGGUCGAGACUCCGACGCGAGGCAGCAGUAGGGAAUCUUCCGCGAGGGGCGAGUGCGUGACGGUGCAACACCGCGGGAGUGAUGAAGGUGUCCGGAUGCGAGAGCUCUGUUAUUAGGGAGGAAGAAAAGUGCAAGUAGCUGUGAAGGUCUUGACGGUACCUGAAGAAGAAGCCACGGCUAACUACGUG
rnacentral:rRNA from 1 species